UCUAAAUAUUGUUUGAGUUUUCUUGUUUGACCCGUUCCAAAUUCCAUUUCCCAUUUCCUUUUUCUUUCCUCUUCUUCACAACCAACCUGUCAUUUAUUAUCUUAAACUCUCACAGGUUCGCAAUAUUCAGGUUUUCGUCUUCAACGGCCGGAUCAGCGAAACGACGUCUUUAGGGGGAGAAAUCGGGCUCGCACAUUAUUUUCCUGUCAUUAUUUGUUAUGGCUGGUGCUAAGGAUCAUUCUCUUCAAGCACAUUGGAAAACACAUUGUCCGUAAUUGGGGAGAGCACAUGAGAAGAAUUUUAGGGGGCCAUCGUCCAAUGUUGUUGCUUCUGCUCCUUAUACCAUUGGCUCUAGUUCUGGUUCUGUAUACUCAUGUGAGACUGCUUUCCAAAUAUCUGAUAUUGCAGAACAAUUUAAAAAAAAAACUGCUUGUUUGUUAUGAUCAGCAUUAAUGAGUUGAUUUUGGUUUGAUCCACAUCCUUUCAAUUGUUGUGGUUCUUUGCUGAUUUGGUUGGUAAUUUAAUUGUCCGUCUCUUCUAUCUCUUUGGUUGUUUUCUUCUGUGUUGUCUGAUUGCGUUUCAGCAAGUGUACUGAAUCGUUGCAAGUAAUAAUAAAACGGUAGUACGGAGUGUCGAACUCAA